rnacentral:lncRNA from 1 species
UUGAGAUCUCAUAAACAUGUUUAACCCCGCCGCAAUUUUGUGCCUGUCCCAAGUCAGGAGCCUCUGGCCUUUGUUAGUCUUGUAUUAUUUUAAAUUUUAGUUUCUUGUGUAUAAUUCGGAGUUUAGUAUGACGUCCAUUAUCACUGUACUAUUAUGCAUAUUUUAGGGGCCAGCUGAAGGACACCUACGGGUGCGGGAAUUCUCGCUACAUUGAAGACCCAUUGGUUGCCUUCGGCUGUUGUUUGCUCUAUGGUCGGGUGGUUGUCGCUUUGACAUAUUCACCAUUUCCUUUCUCAAUUUUAUUUAGCGAAUAGUUCAACAAUGUUAUACAGCUCUAUUCUUAAAGUAUAAAACUAAAAAUGAAAUGUUCUUCCAUUUAAAAUCGAAAACAGUACAUUUAUAUUUAAAAAAGAAGAUGUGGUAUGAUUGCCCUUCUGAUCCCUUCUGUCCGGUGGGCGUCCGUUUUUUUACGGAUGUGUUCUUAAAAAGUGACAAUCUUAACUGCGGGAUAAUACCUAGCUUGUAUACUAUAAAUACAUAUACAAAAGAAGAUGUUGUAUGAUUGCCAAUGAGACAACUCUCCACAAGAGACCAAAAUAACACAGAAAUUAACAACUAUAGAUCACCGUACGGCUUUUAAUAAUGAGCAAAACCCAUACCGCAAAGUCAGCCAUAAAAGGCCCCGAAAUGACAAUGUAAAACAAUUCAAACGAGAAUUGUUCCUUAAAAACUACGACAUUUCUCGCAAGUAUUAAUUUAUUAUUUUGUUCAACACAUGCAAAGGAAAUAAUCUUCGCCGAUGUAACAUUUCAAUUUAUUACAACAAAAUGCCUUCACUGAAUUCAUUCACAAAUGAUACGAUUAAAGUUAUUUUGUUUCUAUUUUGGGGGACAAUUUCCUCCGUUUAUGUUACGCUUAGCUACUGUGUGUAUGUUUUAUAGCAUGAAAAUAAUAAAAGAGGAAUGUCAGUGCAACCCAUCAUUAAUUAUUGUAAUGGAUCAGUAUUAUGAGAUACUUAUUAUAAGUGACUACGACAUUGUUAGGAUUAUAAUUAACCUAUCGUCAGUAUGAAAGAAAUUAAAAGUGGUUCAUAUAUUCAUUCGUAUAAAAGCGGCACAUGCAUUUUAUUUUAAUCCUUAUAUUUCUCAUUAUGCGGUACACGAUAAUUGAGUUGCUGCAUGCAUAAAGAACUUAGAAUAUUACUUAAUACAAAAUAUCAGUAUAAUAUUUCGACCCCACUAUUUGAAGUUAACAAUUCAAAAGAUGUAUUUAAUUCUUUUGACCAAAGGUUUGUAAACUAAACAAAUCCUUGUUUUUACGUUCGUAUAUUAACAUAGUAAAUUCCAUUGUCGGUCACCUGUGUCAAUUCACGUGCACACUGACUACAUUGUUGUUGUAUUUGAAUCUUUCGGCCAAUGAAAUGAGACGUUACAAGUUGUUUGUUUAUGAUACGCCAGAAUGUUAUCAAUGAACUAUCAAAUGCUAAACUUCACUGCAUUUCACUGUAUUAUA